GCUGGGCGUGGUGGCUCACGCCUGUACUCCCAGCACUUUGGGAGGCCGAGGCGGGAGGAUCACCUGAGGUCGGGAGUUCGAGACCAGCCUGACCAACAUGGAGAAACCCCGUCUCUA
rnacentral:SRP_RNA from 1 species